AGAGUUUGAUCCUGGCUCAGGACGAACGUUGGCGGUGCGCUUAAUGCAUGCAAGUCGAGGGAGAACCAUUCGAUCCGUAAGGACUGGAUGGGGAAACCGGCGAACGGGUGCGUAACACGUGAGGAACCUGCCCCGAAGACCGGGAUAGCCCGAGGAAACUCGGAUUAAUACCGGAUACCCUCUUUGGACCACAUGGUCUGCUGAGGAAAUGGUCCGCCGCUUCGGGAUGGCCUCGCGGCCUAUCAGCUUGCUGGUGAGGUAACGGCUCACCAAGGCAAAGACGGGUAGCUGGUCUGAGAGGACGAUCAGCCACACUGGGACUGAGACACGGCCCAGACUCCUACGGGAGGCAGCAGCAGGGAAUAUUGCACAAUGGGCGAAAGCCUGAUGCAGCGACACCGCGUGCGGGAUGAAGGCCCUCGGGUUGUAAACCGCUUUCAGGAGGGACGAAAAUGACGGUACCUCCAGAAGAAGGCCCGGCCAACUACGUGCCAGCAGCCGCGGUAAUACGUAGGGGCCAAACGUUGUCCGGAUUUAUUGGGCGUAAAGGGCUCGUAGGCGGUUCAACAAGUCGAUCGUGAAAGCCCGGGGCUCAACCCCGGGACGCCGGUCGAAACUGUUGUGACUAGGGUCCGGUAGAGGUGAGUGGAAUUCUCGGUGUAGCGGUGGAAUGCGCAGAUAUCGAGAGGAACACCAGUU
rnacentral:rRNA from 1 species